rnacentral:rRNA from 1 species
GUAGGUGGCAAGCGUUGUCCGGAAUUAUUGGGCGUAAAGCGCGCGCAGGCGGUUCUUUAAGUCUGAUGUGAAAGCCCACGGCUCAACCGUGGAGGGUCAUUGGAAACUGGAGAACUUGAGUACAGAAGAGGAAAGCGGAAUUCCACGUGUAGCGGUGAAAUGCGUUGAGAUGUGGAGGAACACCAGUGGCGAAGGCGGCUUUCUGGUCUGUAACUGACGCUGAGGCGCGAAAGCGUGGGGAGCAAACAGGGAUUAGAUACCCUGGUAGUCCACGCCGUAAACGAUGAGUGCUAAGUGUUAGGGGGGUUUCCGCCCCCUUAGUGCUGCAGCUAACGCAUUAAGCACUCCGCCUGGGGAGUACGGCCGCAAGGCUG